rnacentral:rRNA from 1 species
GACAGAGGGUGCAAACGUUGUUCGGAAUUACUGGGCGUAAGGCGCGUAGGCGGCCUGCUAAGUCGAACGUGAAAUCCCGGGCUCAACCGGGACUGCGUCCGAUACUGGCAGGCUGAAUCCGGAGAGGGAUGCGGAAUUCCAGGUGUAGCGGUGAAAUGCGCAGAUAUCAGGAGGAACACCGGUGGCGAAGGCGGCUGCUGGCCAGUUCUGACGCUGAGGAGCGAAAGCGUGGGAGCGAACAGG